rnacentral:rRNA from 1 species
CAGCAGCCACGGUAAUACAGAGGGUGCGAGCGUUAAUCGGAUUUACUGGGCGUAAAGCGUGCGUAGGCGGCUUUUUAAGUCGGAUGUGAAAUCCCUGAGCUUAACUUAGGAAUUGCAUUCGAUACUGGGAAGCUAGAGUAUGGGAGAGGAUGGUAGAAUUCCAGGUGUAGCGGUGAAAUGCGUAGAGAUCUGGAGGAAUACCGAUGGCGAAGGCAGCCAUCUGGCCUAAUACUGACGCUGAGGUACGAAAGCAUGGGGAGCAAACAGGAUUAGAUACCCCCGUAGUCCCUGUCUCUUAUAU